UACGGAGGGUGCAAGCGUUAUCCGGAUUCACUGGGUUUAAAGGGCGCGUAGGCGGUUCGUUAAGUCCUGUGUGAAAUCCCCCGGCUCAACUGGGGAACUGCACAAGAAACUAGCGGGCUUGAGUUCGGGAGAGGGAAGCGGAAUUCCGGGUGUAGCGGUGAAAUGCGUAGAUAUCCGGAGGAACACCGGUGGCGAAGGCGGCUUCCUGGACCGACACUGACGCUGAGGCGCGAAAGCAUGGGGAGCAAAAGGG
rnacentral:rRNA from 1 species